GCGCCGAUGGUUUAAGGGUAGAAUUUAUGCUUCCCAUGUGGUUCCCACAGCAUCGAAUAAGCAUGAGGUCCGAGUUCGAGUCUCGGUCGGCGCA